AUUGAACGCUGGCGGCAUGCCUUACACAUGCAAGUCGAACGGCAGGCACGGGAGCAAUCCUGGUGGCGAGUGGGCGAACGGGUGAGUAAUAUAUCGGAACGUGCCCAGUCGUGGGGGAUAACGUAGCGAAAGCUACGCUAAUACCGCAUACGAUCUAUGGAUGAAAGCGGGGGAUCGCAAGACCUCGCGCGAUUGGAGCGGCCGAUAUCAGAUUAGCUAGUUGGUGGGGUAAAAGCUCACCAAGGCGACGAUCUGUAGCUGGUCUGAGAGGACGACCAGCCACACUGGAACUGAGACACGGUCCAGACUCCUACGGGAGGCAGCAGUGGGGAAUUUUGGACAAUGGGCGAAAGCCUGAUCCAGCAAUGCCGCGUGCAGGACGAAGGCCUUCGGGUUGUAAACUGCUUUUGUACGGAACGAAAAAGUCUGCCCUAAUACGGUGGGCUCAUGACGGUACCGUAAGAAUAAGCACCGGCUAACUACGUG
rnacentral:rRNA from 1 species